rnacentral:piRNA from 1 species
UUGAAGUAUGUCUUUCCUGGGCUUAGGU